GAACCGUCCAAACGUUAUUCGGAAUCACUGGGCUUAAAGGGUACGUAGGCGGCGCUGUUAGUCGGGUGUGAAAUCCCUCGGCUCAACCGAGGAAUUGCGUCCGAUACUGCAGUGCUUGAGGGAGACAGAGGUAAGCGGAACUGAUGGUGGAGCGGUGAAAUGCGUUGAUAUCAUCAGGAACACCGGUGGCGAAAGCGGCUUACUGGGUCUCUUCUGACGCUGAGGUACGAAAGCUAGGGGAGCGAAGGGGAUUAGAUACCCCCGUAGUCCUAGCCGUAAACUCUGAGCACUUGAUCGUGGGCCCCCCCAUAGGCUCUCGGUCGUAGCGAAAGUGUUAAGUGCUCCGCCUGGGGAGUAUGGUCGCAAGGCUGAA
rnacentral:rRNA from 1 species